UACGUAGGCAGCGAGCGUUGUUCGGAGUUACUGGGCGUAAAGAGUGCGUAGGCGGUUUUCUAAGUUUGGUGUGAAAUCUCCCGCUUAACUGGGAGGGUGCGCCGAAGACUGGAAGGCUUGAGUAUGGGAGAGGUAAGCGGAAUUCCUGGUGUAGCGGUGAAAUGCGUAGAUAUCAGGAGGAACACCGGUGGCGAAGGCGGCCUGCUGGGCAGUGGCUGACGCUGAGGCGCGACAGCGUGGGGAGCAAACAGG
rnacentral:rRNA from 1 species